rnacentral:rRNA from 1 species
UGCAAGUCGAACGAUGAUCCCAGCUUGCUGGGGGAUUAGUGGCGAACGGGUGAGUAACACGUGAGUAACCUGCCCUUGACUCUGGGAUAAGCCUGGGAAACUGGGUCUAAUACCGGAUAUGACUAUCUGACGCAUGUCAGGUGGUGGAAAGCUUUUGUGGUUUUGGAUGGACUCGCGGCCUAUCAGCUUGUUGGUGGGGUAAUGGCCUACCAAGGCGACGACGGGUAGCCGGCCUGAGAGGGUGACCGGCCACACUGGGACUGAGACACGGCCCAGACUCCUACGGGAGGCAGCAGUGGGGAAUAUUGCACAAUGGGCGCAAGCCUGAUGCAGCGACGCCGCGUGAGGGAUGACGGCCUUCGGGUUGUAAACCUCUUUCA